rnacentral:rRNA from 1 species
AUUGCCUCAGUAACGGCGAGUGAAGCGGCAACAGCUCAAAUUUGAAAUCUGCCGCAAGGCCGAGUUGUAAUUUGUAGAGGAUGCUUCUGGGCAGCGGCCGGUCUAAGUUCCUUGGAACAGGACGUCAUAGAGGGUGAGAAUCCCGUAUGCGACCGGUUGGCACCCGUCACGUAGCUCCUUCGACGAGUCGAGUUGUUUGGGAAUGCAGCUCUAAAUGGGUGGUAAAUUCCAUCUAAAGCUAAAUACCGGCCAGAGACCGAUAGCGCACAAGUAGAGUGAUCGAAAGAUGAAAAGCACUUUGGAAAGAGAGUUAAAAAGCACGUGAAAUUGUUGAAAGGGAAGCGCAUGCAACCAGACUUGUCGGCGGUGUUCCGCCGGUCUUCUGACCGGUCUACUCGCCGCCGACAGGCCAGCAUCGUGUGGGUGUGCCGGAUAAAGGCGUCGGGAAUGUGGCCCCUCGGGGUGUUAUAGCCCGGCGCAUAAUACGGUGCCGCCCGCGCGAGGUCCGCGCUUCGGCUAGGAUGCUGGCGUAAUGGUCGUAUGCGGCCCGUCUUGAAACACGGACCAAGGAGUCUAACAUCUGUGCGAGUGUUCGGGUGUCAAACCCCUACGCGGAAUGAAAGUGAACGGA